GUUUGAACUAGGAGAGGUGGAAGUGUUAAGGCUGUGAAAUUACGGCUAACAAAAUAGGCAGGUAGAGGAAAUUGAUUAUCAGAAAGGAGAAUGGGGCAGACGUUCAGGUUGAAGUGGACAUGGGAGGUUGUGUGGUGCUAGUUCUUGGCCUUACUACCUGAAAUUGGUUUCCUUACUAUUCCCUUCAAUACUAACAGUAAACUUACUUUUUACUUGAGCUUCUUAGAGCUGGUGUCUGCUUCUCAUAGACAAACAAUCCCUGAUCAGAGUGUUCCCAAAUAUUAACACAAUGUGUUUCGUUCCUGUGCACGCAUUUCUCCUGCCUUCAGUAACUCUGCACAUUCUGUUCUCCAGCUCACUCUGUUCGUUUCUGAAAACCCAGCUCAGCAGUCAGUCCCCUUCUGUGGAAGGUUUUAAGUUAUUUAUUGAAGAAUAGAUAGCUCAUAGUAAGGAAGCAGAGGGACUUUCAGUUAGGGGAGGGUAAUGGGAGCCAAGCAACAGAGAAGGGGUGUGUACAGGAACAGGGCAAUGAGAAGGAUCAAAGCAGAGGCUUGUUUAUGUUAGAGAAUAGAGGGGAGAGCAAACUUCAAGUACUUCUGCAGGACAAAUAUUUGUGAUCUUGGCGUCAUUUUGUCUGAAGGCUAAGGGCUCACCACGUACUGGAUACCACGGAGAGGUCAUACUGUAAUUUAUCCCAGCUAAGAAAGAAACUGUAGCUAUUCCCGGGUAUCAGUAAUAACCCAUUUCUGUAGCAUUGCGAGGUUCAGCUCAAGACAGAGGACCACCCAGACGUACUACAAAUGUUUCUGCUAGAAUUCAAAUAAAUCACAUUUGCAGACACUAUAGUGCUUCCCAUCAGGGGUGAGAAGGGUAUGUGCAAAAUAGUGCAAGCUCUGAGGGGCUGGGAGGAGCAGUUCCCCACAUUGCCAAGGAGGGCCAUAAUGAAGACUGUCUUCCUGCUGGGAAGCACCAGAACGCGUUUAUUGAUUGGAGGUUGGCAGGUGGUGGAGAGAAUACCAAGACCUAGGCUCUCCUGAUCUCCCUGCAUCCCUGUCAUUUUUGGCAAUGUCGCUAAUCGGCCCAGCAGCCCGAAUCCACACGCCCCGGCGUCCGGGCUCUGCAAGGUGCAGCUGGUCUCAGGCCCUGUCUCAGAAUACAGAAGUAAUCAGAAUUUAUUCACGUGGGCCGACUGAGAGUUUUGACGUCAAAGGGCAAUCCUGUCUGAUUGAUACCACUCAAAUGGCAAUAUUGUUUGAAGAAAUGUAGUUAGAGAGAUGGCAAUUUAAAGGCUAUAAGAAGUUACAGGAAAAGAUUUUGUGAAUAGAGACUAUAAAGCACUCCUGUAACCUUGGCCCCAAAGAGGGCUCUCCAGACAGAAAGUUGCCUGCAUGUCCCGGUGCGUGUUUUUGAGUGUGAUACUGUUCUUCACUGCUCUGUCCCAAGAAAUCCAGCAUUGCCUAUGGCAUACCUUCUGAGGAAAGCCUUUGGGGCAAAGAAAUUACAAAAAUGAAGGUGGGGGAGUAUUACAAUUUGUAACAGUCACUUAAGAAUUCUCAACAUGUUUUUUUCAUUGGCUAUAAACAAAACAAGGUAAUACAAGACACCUGUGACCAUGCAAAAAAUAAGAGGCACAGAUGCCCCACCGUUAAAGCAAGCAGGUCACGCAGCAGGGGCAUUCCUGUGGGUGAGCGGCCUGGGAGACCAACAGAGAAGAAUCACCCAGGAGGUAAAACAGCAUUCAGUGAGCAAGAGGCACAGAAGUCUAGGGUGAAAUUGCCAGUGAAACAGCCUUCUCAGAAUGCUGGGAUUUUAGAAAGCACAGCUGGGAAGUUGUGGGCUGGAGAAUCCAUCAGCCUCCCUCGUUGUCUAUCUCUUUCCUUCCUAACUUUCUUGUAUCAGCCAUCAGUGCCACACUGGGUGCUGGGCUUGAGGGGAUAAAAUGGGGAACAUACGCACCCGGUUUCUGUCCUUAGGGGGCUUAGAGUAGAAUGGGGAAGAGAUAAACCCAAGUAAAUAGCAUACAAAUAAAAUAAUUGCCAACUGUGAUAAAGGACUUUGAAGAAAGCAAUUAAAGUUCUGAGUUAGAAGGUAACAUGAGAGUAAAUUGCGUUUCCUAGGGUGGUCAGGAAAUGUUUUUUUGGACAGACUUAACAUAUAAACAGAUCUGUAAGGAGCAGGGAGGAUUUUAAAGUUUGCAGUGGGUAGAGAGGUUGGGAAAGUACUGAAAGAAAGUGGUGUGGUUGGAGAACAAUAUACAAAUGUGACAAUGAAACAAAAUGGAACAAAAGAAAAGGGAAGGCUUGUCAUCAGACGUGGUGACAAGUUCAUUUUGAUCUCUCACCCUCUAUCUUCACGGUCUCUUCAGGCCUCCUAGACUUCCAUUGGAAAGCCCUGGCCUCUUGGAAUUACAGGUGUUGGAAAUCCACACCAAACUAACUUGAGCAGGGAAGGGGAAUUACCAUACUGUGAGCUGUCAGGGUGCAGCUGACCAAUAGAUGGCUGGGGCCCGGGGAUAUGGGCAUCGAGAUUCACUUUUUUUUCUCCUGUGGUUCUCCUUCAUUGUCCAGCAGACAGGCCUUGGCCUGUACUACAGUGGGACAGUGUUUCCAGUAGCAACUGUUUAUCUUCCCAAAUUUGCCACCAGGCAGUGGGGGGCUGUCUUCCCUUACUUCCAGUUUGGCUCAUGCUUGGUGAGAGACUCUGUUUUCCUUGGCUUGGGUCACAUUCCCACCCAAGGAGACAGGGUGCUGCCGGUGGCAGCGUGGGGGAAAGGAGCAACUCCCCUGCAGAUGCCUGCCUGCCUGUGAGGGCGUCGAUAUGAGUGAGAAAGGGUAAAGAGCUGUGAGUAUGUGUAUUGUGAGAUUGUGUGUGUGUGUUUAUGUAGAUGUGUGCAUGUGUAUGUGAGUGUGUAUGAAUGUAUGUGUGUAUGUGUGACUGGGAGAACAUGUAUGUGUGUACAUUUGUGAGUAUGUAUAUAUGUUGAGUGUUAUGUGUAAAAUUGUGUCUCCCUAAAAUUCUUAUGUUGAAAUCCUAGCCCCUAAUACCUUAGAAUUCAACGUUAUUUGGAGAGAGGUCUUCGUAUAGAUAAUCAAGUUCAAAGGAGACAUUAGGGUGGGCUGUAAUCCCAUUAGCUGUUGUCUUUGUAAAAGGGGAAAUUUGGACACAGAGCCACUCAGAGAGGGAAGAGGUCGUGAAGAGACACUGGCAGAAGAUAGCCAUGUACAAGCCAAGUAGAGAGGACUGGAACAGAUCCUUCCCUCACAGCCUCCGAGGAACCAACCUGGCCGACACCUUGAUUUCAGACUUCUGGCCUCCAGAACUGUGUGAGACAGCACAUUUCUGUUGUGGAAGCCACCCAGUCUGUGGUACUUUGUUACAGCAGCUCCAGCAAAUGCACACCAUGAGCGUGUGUGUGACUGUGGGCAUCUGAGUGUCAAUGUCAAUGUAUGUGUAGACUGGGAGUUGCUCUGGUCAUAAAUCUAAAGAUGGCUAUCAUGCUGCUCCUUUUCUUUGCUUAUCCAAUACCACUCACAUUUCGAGGCCUGCCACAAAUCCCCCUCCUUCUUGACAUCUUUCAUGGGUUCUCAGUGCUCCAGGUGCAAUUCUGGCUGCCACCAAUUAAUCGCGUGAUUCAUGGUGACCUUGAGGGAAACAACCUUUCUCAUUAAUCUUUGGGUCCCUGUAUUUGUCUUAUGGCCCAGCAUGUAGUAAGUACUCAAAUAAUAUUUGUUUGCUUCACUUAACCUUCUAUUUAAUUUUUUUUACUGUGAAAUAAAACAAAUGUAGAAAAUUGUACAAAACAAGAGUUUACAGCCCAGUGUUUUAUCACAAAGUGAACAUCUGUGUAACUACUACACAGAGCAAAAAAU
rnacentral:lncRNA from 1 species